GUGAUGGUCAGUUCCUAGUAAGCAGAGGAAGCUGCAUCUGCUUUCUGAUGAAUUCACGACAAUUCUUAAUAGGAGCUUGUCAUCAAAGCAAUUUAAGAGGGAAAUUCCAAGAGCAUUCUGCUUUGUGUAAUUUGGCUGGCCUCCGUCUGCUAAGGGAAGUCACAGCAGGCUAAUAAUUCCUGCCAGCGACUGAGACAGAGGGAGGCUGAACAGCAGCAGCCUUUGUCCUUGUCUGCCACUCAGUUUUUUUUUUAAUGUCUUUUUUUCGUGCUCUUUGAUAUUUUGCCAGACUUCUGCAAUUAAAUAUAACACACAUUUUUGUCUCGUGCAAUAGCAGACUCAUCCCUUUUUUACUGGUGUAUAUCUACCUCUCAGCUGCUAGCCAGGCAACAAAUUAAAAUUCUCCAAUAUUUGUGACCACAAAUUAAAUCUGAAUGUUCAACAGCUGCUGAAGCUUUCUGUUUGCUUCUCAACUUGACAGACACAGGCUAUCCCUGCUGCUGGAGCUUUGUGAAGUGACAGGGUGCUGACAAGCUACUGGCCUGUUUGGGAUCUCCAGAGACUUCGUCCCUACAAAUCUGGCUGCUGUGAUUAUUUUGGGGCUCAAAGCAGUUUUCCCUGAGGACCAGAGGAACUGUGCCAGCAGAUGUGGUUUGUGCACUCCGCGCAGGCUGCAGGGGGCACCAAUGGGGGGUCUGAACUCCCCGUGGAAUUGGGGAUCCCCCUGCCCUCCCUGAGGCCAGGGGCUGUGGGAGAUGCCGCUGCACAGGGGCUUCAGCAGCAGCGGUGCGGGAGGGCAGAUGUGUCUGAUUGCAGGGCCAGAACCUGAGCCGAGGGUGAUAAAAUGUUUUCCCAGCCUUUUUGGAAACCUGGGCUAAGCUGUGAAGGAGAGGGAGGUGAGAUACCGAGUUAAGUGAGAGGUGAUCUGUCUCGGGGCAGAAGAUGUUUCUGUGUUGGAUUUAUUUAAUUAUGCGUGUUUUGUGAGAGGAGAGAGAAUUCAGGAUGUUCUCAGCUGGGUGCAGGGUGAGCCUUAAUGGUUUCUUCUGGAAGAGUUUUACAGGUUCAGAGGUUUCUGAAUUCACUGGUGUCUUAUGCUCAAUGCAAAAUGCAGGAGAUAUGAAGUCUGUGGUAGCAAGAAGAAAUAUAACGUGAUUUCUGUUAGUCCCAGAAUCCCACUGCCUUAAUAAAACCACAGAAAAAAUGUUUCUACAGGGUGUUUCAAAAAGAUAGACAGACUCAAUUUGACAUCACUGUAUCUUUGAAAUUGGAUCCAUCUUUUUGAAACACUCUGAAUAUUCAGAAGUUGAGAGAAGUGUGAUCUUUCAGGUCUAUCCAUAUACUGCUUCCAUCUCUUGAUGCAAGAGAAAUUUCUGGUUGUGGCAGUAUAGUCUCAUCUCCAGGCUCUUUCAGAAGAUGUCUUUGCAUUGGCAUUAUCCCAAGGCCCUGGAUCGUAGGGACAGACUUGGUGCAGGGAUGGGUAUCCAGCCACAUGGUAAAUACCAUUUUUUUUCCCCAAUUAGCAUAGUGCUGUCUGUGGCCCUUGAGUGAAAGUGGAAGGUCUCAAUCUCCUGUAUUUGAACUUCUUUAGGUCAUCGACACAGUAAAAGAGAGAGAUUCUGUGGCAUAUUUUAACUUUUCUUCCACUGACAUGUCCUAUUUAUUCCACAAACUAUAAAUUAUCUUCCUGCCCACUUCCCUUUAGAGUAUCCUUCAGUAUCAUAAAUACCAUCUAUUUCCUCUUGGGUGGUCUUGUUGAUACAAAUCUAACUAAAUUUUAGAGUAGUUGUUCUCAAUUGGUUUUUAUUUUUUCAAGGCUGCUGCACCUGGAGAGGGACCGAUUUGCUUGAAAGCUUAUUGAUCUUUUUCCCAGCUAGACUAGUGGGUCUAAUAACAUAGGUCUGCCUACAAACCUUAUUUUGGUCAUAUGCUUGGAUACUUGGAAACAAUACUGGUUUGUUAUUUCUUCUGGCAUAAUUUAUGGCUGUCACCAUUAUGCAAAUAUCCCAGCAAUAACUAGUAAUGAUAUGGAGAGAGUUGUGUUGGCCUGUCAGCAAUGUUCCUAAACUUCAUCAGGGAAAAAUAAACAGAAAAUUCUCAGGCAACCGAUGUGCUGGGAGAGACUGCAAUGCAGAUGCAUUUUAUCAUUAUGAAGUUGCCAUGAUACACAAAUUUGUUCAUUCUGGGUCAAAUCUUUCUCUUUUUAUUCCUGUGUGUUCUUAAAUCAGAGAAAUUUGGUGUUAGGGGAGUUCCGGAGCAGUUUGCAGUUACCCUGCAGUCCCGUGGGGUGAAGGGUGCAGACACUCGGGUCUUGUAACGCCAUCAACACAAGUGCCAGUGAUGACUGUAGGAGGCAGUGGCAAUCGUUAGCGUUGAACUGUUAAAUGAGACACUUGGACUGAGGUAACUGAGUUUCUGGCAGCCUGAAGCCAUGGGAGUGACAGAUCCGAGUACCAAAAUGUUACCCGUCAGUCUGCGGCUGUGUCAUAUUAGGAGUUCCAACACUGGCCUCUUUCCUCAUGCUGACUGGGAGAUGAUGGUGGAUCUUGGCAUAUACAGUCCACCAACACCUCUCCAGUGCGUAGGGGACAUGUCCUGCAUAUCUGCAAAAUGGAGCCAUCCGUGUGGUCCUGCUCAGUGACAGCUGAGACUGACAAGUGCAUUUCUUUCUUGCCUCUUGUGGGAGAGGUGGCAGGGAAGCAAGCACGUACUCCUCACUCUCCUUCUUGUCUGCAUUGCCUCUGACUGGUACUAAGGAUACUGCUCUCUCAGCAUGGACCCGGUGCCCCAGGGCAGCAGCAGGGAGGUGAGACUCCAACCUGUACAGCUCCCACCCAAGCUCCUGAGGUCCCUCAUAAGCUCAGGACUUUCCUAUUGCAGCAUAACGUGAGUAAACUGGAGAAGAGAAACCCAGAAGGGCCUGAGCAUCUUAAAGCCCUGUCAGUGCAUGGUGUGACACGAGCUACCAGGCCUGCUGUGGGAGGAAACCACGGCCGCCAUCGUGCCAGCAAUCAGAUUUCUGCUGGGAAGAAAUAGCAAGUGAGCAGGUCAUCUGUGCCAAGGGCCGAACACAGGUUACACACGCAGCCUGGCAGUGCUCGCCUGCCUGAGUCACGAGUCAUGUCUUCUGCAGGUGACAGCAUUACUUGCCUGCCCCAGAUUUGUUUCUGUUGACGUGAAGGUUCAAAGGUGCGUGUUGCUGGUAAGGAACAGAGGAUCAUUUUUGCUUUAGUAUCACAGCACAAAACAAAGAGCAUGAUGAGGAAGCAGAAGCUGACCCCGAAGGGAUGCUUUUUUCCCUCCUCCAUGUUGUAGCUGGGAUAUUUGCUGCAAAAUCAGAAAAUGUGCCUCUUUCUUUUUUUGGAAAGGAUAUACUUAUGUAAUUUGACCUAAUUUUGGUUCUUAAUAACCAACACAGCUCAGCCAGCACUCAAUGGUUGGCUCUAAUGAACCCGCAUAAUACUAUUUGUGGUUCUUUUUGAGGGCAGACCAGUUUGUCUUAGCCCACAAGCCUUAUUUUAAAUAAUCAGAAGCCCCAUUUUUAAGCGCAAAUGUGAUUUUAAAAGUAGUUAUUCUUGCUCAUGAACAUGAUGGGAACUUAAUGCUGAGCCUUUGAGGUGCCAGAGGAAGCACGUUACAAUUACCAGGCAGUUUACUAGUGCCACAGUAAGGUCGUGUUUGAGAGUGACGGGUUUUGUUCUUUUCCAUGUGCUGUUCAGACAAACCCAGCAAGGCUGAAUUAUCACAUGCCCAAUGUCUGUCACCACUCCAGGGCUGAACCUGCUCGUUCAAAAAGUUCACCUUUGGAGCAAACAGAAACCAGAGUUCAGCAACCCCACACCCUUACAUCACUGAGAGUAAGGGAUGGGGCCACAUUUUCUUGCUGUCUUUGCUCCUCUCAAAGUGCUGCUCUGUCACUGCUCAAGUGCAUAAGCUGUCCUGAAAUAAAAUUGUGCUGCUCAAAUACAA